GAGAGAAGCACCGAAUCAGAUGAAAUGGAGUGAGGGACGCGCCACACCAGACACCACACUCACCACACACAACGCACUAAAUGUAACACUCCUCCACCCACGUGAACAUAAGAAAGAUGCCGCACUCAACAAACACACCGCGCCAAAUGUAACGCGAACAUAAGAAAAUAAGAUUGCAAAAUGUCAGGUAACCUACGCUAGGCGCUUAAAACUUACCAUCUGUCAUUUUCGUGUGUGAGAGAGAGAGAGAGAGAGAGAGAGAGAGAGAGAGAGAGAGAGAGAGAGAGAGAGAGAGAGCGGUAUAACCAAAGCUAAGUAUUAUUAGAAUUUUGUUCUCCUAUUUCUUACGCUUCUAUUUACGAAACUCAACACUGCUUUGUUGUAAGGGAUCACGUACCGCUUUCUAGACUAGCGUAUUAUUGUGCGUAUACCUGUAUCGAGGCAGCAGAACAUCGCUUUUCUCAUCCAAGAACAAGAGUAGCAGUAAGUGGACGUGGAAAGAAAAGAUAAAAAUAAAAAUCCCACUACAAUUCAUUUUAUUUUUACUUGGGAUGGCAACGUUUUUCUAGCCAGAUUUAAUUAUAUUUUACAUCUUCACGAUUAAGAAAAAAAAAAAAAAAAGGUAUCUCACCUGCAUCCUUCUCCCUCUUCCUGCCCUCCCUCUUCCCCUCCCCCAGGUCCCUCCGCCUACGUGGACUGACUUUCCGACGAGUUUCUAAGUCCUCAAAGUCGUGCAGUGAAGUUCGCGCCUAAAGGUCCGGGCAGCCUGACACCAUUUCAGGUCUUGUCAAAAAAAAAAAAAAAAAAAAAAAAAAAAAAAAAAAAAAAAAAAACCUUAGCACUUAGGAAACAAUCGAACUGAUAUUUCUUGAAAAUACUCUGAAGCUGAGUGAGUGAGUGAGUGAGUGACUGACUGACUUACUGACUGACUGACUGACUUACCAACUGACUGAGUAGGAGAAUGUGGAUGGUGGGAGAGAAGUGACAGGGAAGAAGGGAGGAACAGUUAAGCAAGAGAAGAUUGCAGGAAUGAGUAAUGGCUGACUGGGUCUGACUGACUGACUGACUGGUUAACUGGACGAUUGAGUAACAUUUAUAUUAUAGCUCACUGACAAGGAUGACUGACCGGAUGACUGGUUGCUUAACGAAGUUGCUUGACUAGCUGGCUGACUGACUAGUUAGGUGAUUAAGUAACUGACUGGGUAGGUUACUGGAUGACUCACUAGCUGGGUGACUAAGUAACUGACUGGGCGGGUGACUAGAUAACUAGCUGGCAGAAGUUAUCUAAUUAGCGCGCUUGUUGGCCUUUGUGUUGCAUCACAGGAAUCAUUAACCCAGUCACUCAAUAAUAACAGAUGCAUAUAUAUAAAGGUACUAGGCCUUGCUGGCGCCCGAGAGUGUAAGAAAGGCAGGAAAAGUGAGUGGCGAGUGUGUGGGGCGACACUGUACCCUCCCCACGGUUUUGGAGGACAAAGUGAAAGAUGGAGGCGGAAGGAAGGGCCAGUGAGCUGCGUAUGCUUGACCUCUGAGUGGACGUAAGGAAAAAAAAAAAAAAUGACACGUUUCGGAAAUAACUUGUAUCAUAAGUAGAGAACGUGCAUCCCGUUAAGCUGCCGCGCAUUGCAAGGCCACGAGAGUACGUGGUAUGAUCGCAAGUGACACGUCCGGAAAUCAGCGUUUAAUUGCGUGUGUCUUAAUAGAAAAAAAUAGCUGAUUUCCAAAUUAUACAUCAAAAUAUGACCUCGUCUAGUUCAGGAGAGUCCUUCGUAUAAAUGCACUGGUGUAUGUAUGUCUGUGUGAGUGUUAUUGCUAGUUAUCUCUCUCUCGCUCUCUCUCUCUCUCUCUCUCUCUCUCUCUGUCAGUAGUUGCACAGGUCUUCAAGGGUAUUUUUACGGUUUUAGUGACAGAUUAACAACAUUUCUACAUUAAUAACAGGAGAAACACCAUUGAAAACCCUGAUAAUCAUCUUUAUAGCUUUGAAAAACAGUCGUGAGGAGAGAGAGAGAGAGAGAGAGAGAGAGAGUAGGAGCAUUUCAGUUGAGCCUAUUCUGCCCUGGUUCGUGUUUGCUGCGGUGACACGGUGCCGCACUGAGUGAAGAUUGCGUUCAUAAUCACUUAUCAGGGGUGGAGUGGGGAAAGGAGAGUCAGGAAGUGAGGAUAUUUAUAUUAUUUGACAUAUUAUUUGAUAGCAUGUCAACUUGUGUGUGUGUGUGUGUGGGUGGGUGGGUGUUGGAUCAGUGACAGGUGGCGCUGGGGAGUUACCACGGCGAGCGGCCGGCUGGCUGCAGUGUUUUGGUCAGCACUGGUCAAUCUUGCCCUACACGCUCUAUUAACCAGUGUUUCCGUCUUCCUGACACCUUCUUCCUGCACCAAGCACCGUCAAGCAUCACCAGAGAGGCACGAGUACGUAAGCUAUCCAACAUCAGAACAGUAUAUGAAUAUGGCAAAUGCUGUUUUGACAUCAUUUCCUGCCAUCCUGAGAAACAGUGAUCUCGAGGAGCAUGAAUUGCAGCUGCAAUGGAAAUUGCGCAUCCAGCGCAAGUUUCAGAAUUCAAGAAAGAGGCAGGAUUCCUCAGUGACUGAGGUGAUGUUAAGGAAAAAGAAGAUCCCUUGCAUAGCGCCAAAAGAGACUACGUGUCCACUGAUGUAUGGAGUAAAGGCUUACCUUCCACCAAGGCCCCAUUCAGAAGAUGAUGAGUCAUUAGAGAGACAUAGACAGUGACUUGCUCUACAUUGGAUGAAGAAAGAUCCCGAGUUAGAUAAGAUAAUCAAGGAGUUCCUGAGAUUAGAACCACAAGCGGAUGAACCAGACCCAAGAGUAGCAGUUUUGAAAGGGCUGGAGAAAUAUAGGCUCCCAAUAAUUGCCAUUCUCAAAAAAAGAAAAGCAGUUCCUCUGUAUAUGGAAACCUUACUUGAACUCUAUGACCACGAUGAAAGUCAAUGCGAAUGCUUGCUUAGUUUUAUUGGGGUUACUUCACCUGCUUGGAGAAAGGAAAGACUCCAUUUUUACUAAGGUACCAGAAGAAGAACUAAGAACAGGGCAGUCAAGGUACCAGAAGAAGAACUAAGAACAGGGCAGUCUAGUGUGUAUUUGAUGGUGCACCUGUAGCUGAACCAACAUGUAUUUCUAUGGCUGUAGUCUCAUUGGUAGCAGGGCUUUGUGUUUAAUAUUGAACACCCAAAAAAUUGUGAACAUUUCCUCCGUUUCACAACAUCCCAUCUCUUAGGUAUCAAGUAUGACAAAGGUAACACUUCAAAAACAAGAUCUCUACUUGUAAAACUCAAUGAAGUAAAGACAGAAUUGAGCUACAAAAAUGCAUAAAUCUGCUUCCAAAUAUAUUCAACUCCACACAUAAUGCCUCUCUCUCUCUCUCUCUCUCUCUCUCUCUCUCUCUCUCUCUCUCUCUCUCUCUCUCACACACACACACACACACACACACACACACACACACACACACACAC